rnacentral:rRNA from 1 species
UACGAGGGGUCCUAGCGUUGUUCGGAAUCAUUGGGCGUAAAGCGGGUGUAGGCGGAAACGUAGGUCAGAAGUGAAAGUCCCAGGCUCAACCUGGGAAGUGCUUUUGAAACCCCGUUUCUUGAGUGUAGAAGAGGUGAGUGGAAUUCCAGGUGUAGUGGUGAAAUACGUAGAUAUCUGGAGGAACAUCGGUGGCGAAGGCGGCUCACUGGUCUAUUACUGACGCUCAGACCCGAAAGCGUGGGAGCAAACGGG